rnacentral:rRNA from 1 species
ACACGUAGGGGGCGAGCGUUGUCCGGAUUUAUUGGGCGUAAAGAGCUCGUAGGCGGUUUCGUAAGUCGGGUGUGAAAGCUUCAGGCUCAACCUGGAGAAGCCACUCGGUACUGCGAUGACUAGAGUCCGGUAGGGGAGCGUGGAAUUCCUGGUGUAGCGGUGAAAUGCGCAGAUAUCAGGAGGAACACCAACGGCGAAGGCAGCGCUCUGGGCCGGAACUGACGCUGAGGAGCGAAAGCGUGGGUAGCGAACAGGAUUAGAUACCCUGGUAGUCCACGCCGUAAACGUUGGGCACUAGGUGUGGGAUCUUUCCAACGGAUUCCGUGCCGUAGCUAACGCAUUAAGUGCCCCGCCUGGGGAGUACGGCCGCAAGGCUAAA